ensembl:antisense 9430060I03Rik RIKEN cDNA 9430060I03 gene
AACAGACACUCACCUGAUACUUCUGGGGGCUACAAGUCCAAAACCAAGGUCUUGGAGCUCCAGAGGUUGGUUCAUGCCUGGUCAUCUUGCUGCAGCCUCAUGGUGGAAGAGGCUUGAAGGCGAGGUCCUGCUAACCCCGGGGUCCAUCUCCGUGAGAAACAUAUCCACAACACCCGCCCAGGCAAGAGACCCUGCUGCACCUGGGGUCGUCUCCAAGUGAUGUCCUCCCGAAACUGGGCCAGAGGCGUGGACAAGUUGUAAAAGAGCGAGGAGUCCGAGGCGGGGAAUGCCGCGUCCCGGAAGAGCUCCCGCGCCGGCGUCUCGGCCCGGACCGCCCGCAUCUUCGGCGCCCUGGGCUCCCAUCUGCGGCCCGUGGACUCGGUCGCCGCCCGGGAGCGAGUGCGCGGCCUUCACUGCAAACCGUGUUUGCUUAGCCCGGGAGACCUACUGGUGCAGAGCAGCCUAGCGCCGCAAGCUCCGUUGUCUAGGUAACCCGGCUGGAGCCAACCAGGAGCCGUGCUUGCGUCAUAUGACAGAGCUGCCUAAUCACGCACGAGCUGCAGCGCAGAACCGUGCAGGACUGGUAGGUUCUGCUCUCGCACGAGGGCGUGGUCCCCGCGUUUCUAACUGGGCAGUGCUAGCCUGAUGUCCGUAUGCUUUAGUGCUCGGGACAACGCAGCUGUAGCCACUUGAAAUCGAAGUCUCAGUGACCACAGGAAGCUGAAAAGUCACUUUGGUUUAGAUCGCUUUGUCAAUGCUAUCCCAGCAUGCAGCGCCGUUCCCAGCAUACGUCGCUGAUCACAGGCGUUGUCUACUUCCCAGCGUGCUUCGCUCCUUCCGGUGUGAGGCAGGAACUUGGCAAAGCGGUGGUUCCUCCCUGUCUUCUGAAAGAGCCAGUGAGGAAGUGGCUCAGCGAAUCGCGUUGUUAUCCUUCCGUCGCGGUGGUGGUUGCGUUGUUCUGGGGAGGCAGAGGUGUCACUGGGGUUGAAACUUGCCGGGGUCGGGCAUUUGUCUCAAAACGAUUGGGCUUCAGACGCUCUGGAUCCUAAGCGGCCAGGGAAUGCGGCUGGAGCAUUCCUUGAAGCCUUAAAUGGCCUGGCUAUGGUUUUGUAGACUGGAUGGUGACCAGGACGUGGACUUGCGGCUCCACGAUUAUUCGAUGCCAUGAGGAGGUCAGGGACAGGACACUCUCCUUCUGGUGCCUACUCUUCCAGGUCCCAGGAAGGACACAAAUCAGCCAAGGACUGUUCUCUGUGUCUUCUCCAAAUGUAUUUCAUCAAGACUAGAAGCUUCAUAGACAGGAAGGGAGACGACGAGGCUUCACACCUUGUAGACUGCAGUUUGCCACCUAUUAGGGCUGCUCUGAUAUUUUUUCCCUCCUCUGGGCCCCUUUUUCUCAGUCUUGGAUAAAAGGUAGUCAGAGGAAAUGCGGUUUGUGCAGUUAAGUAGAUCAAGUACCCGUUGCCUAAAGAGGAACAACCAGGCCAAGCUUUUACCCAUAACCUGCUGCUUCAGAGUCUAGACAGUUGCUCCUUCUCCCAGUGAGAGGCUGGGCUGCUCCUGCAUCAGCAGCAAUUACUGCUGUGGCAUGACACAGUUACCUUGGCUCCACUAGGCUUCAGCGCCAUGAUUUGAGGUGCAAGACACUUAACUCUUUAUUGAGGUUAUUUAAAAAAAAAAAAAAAAAAA